UACGUAGGGUGCAAGCGUUGUCCGGAAUUAUUGGGCGUAAAGAGCUCGUAGGCGGUCUGUCACGUCGGCUGUGAAAACCCGAGGCUCAACCUCGGGCCUGCAGUCGAUACGGGCAAACUAGAGUACUGCAGGGGAGACUGGAAUUCCUGGUGUAGCGGUGAAAUGCGCAGAUAUCAGGAGGAACACCGGUGGCGAAGGCGGGUCUCUGGGCAGUAACUGACGCUGAGGAGCGGAAGCGUGGGGAGCGAACAGG
rnacentral:rRNA from 1 species